CUUCCGUGUCCUUCUUUGGCUGUCAUAUCUCUUGUGGGUUGUGUGUGAAUGUCCCCACGUGCUUAUGUGUGUGACUCCUCGGCCCUUGUGGGGGAAUUGUAGAUUCUUCAGGAGGUGGCCCCUUGCUGGAGGGAAUGGUCAAUGGGAGUGGGCUUUGAGGGAACACUGAGGGUGCUGUUUUCUCUGCUUCCUCUGCACGGUACAUGUGAUCAGCUGUCUUCCUGUUCCUGCCACUGUGCCUUCUCUGCCUGCUGCCAAGUCUUCUCCUCCAUGAUGACCUUUGCCCCCCGGACCUGUAAUCCAAAUAAACCAUUUUCACCUCGAUUUCUUUUUGUCAGGUUAUUGAUAUCAGAGAAAUGGAAAAGAAACUAAUAUUACGUCCUAUUUUUCUUUGUGCAGAAUGAUCACACAGUUUAUGCCUUAGACUUGAGCACUUUGGUGAGAUUAAAGUGGUCUUCUUUUCAGCAUAGCUUUUCCUGGGAAAUGAGUCUACGUGAAAGCAGCAUGGAGCAGAGCCCAAGCCAUGUUGGAGAAUGACUCCCGUCUAUCACGGGAGGUCAUGGUGGACCUGAUCAUCAGAGAAUCCCGUGAAACAGGAGUGUGUCUACCUAGUGAAAGUCGGUCACUGGCGGCUCGUCUUUGAAGGCUGUAUAUUGUCCACAUCCCUUCCUGUAUUUAAUUUUCUAUUCUUCUUGGCCUCCCUGACGUGACCUUCUCUGCUUUUCCACACAGCUGUUUGGUAACAUAGCUCGCCGCUCACUGGGGAUGUAACGGCACCGACGAAGGUGUUUCUCUGGUCUUUCCAAAGCCGCUCUCUGGGGAUACAACGACACCGACGAAGGUUUUCCGUGGCAUCUUUCCCAAGCAGAGCAGCUCUGCUUCUUGCACGGGCCACUGGUGAGCGUGCUGGAAUUCCGUGGGCAGAAACAAAAAACACACCACUAAGUACAAUUCUGCUGUCCCUGUGCUAUCCUUGGAUUUGGGGGUGCCAACUGGAACAUGGUUGACCCACCAGGAUCCACAUACUGUAGAGGGCUCAACCCUAAAUGGGGGCUCUGUAUCACGCCUUCUCCUUUCCAAGGCUCAGUGAUCACUGAAGAAGAGGACACAGAAAGAUUGUAAGAGCCAGAGGUAUUGGAAGACUACAAGGAACCAAGGAAGCGGUAUUUUCUGGACACAACAGGACAGCUGAACAUAUGAAUUCACAGUAGCUGUGACACCAUGCAUAAGACAUGCAGGAGUUCAAGCCAGGCAAGAGCCCAGCAUGGAGAGGAGAGCGGCCCAUGGAGGCCCACCCCCAACUGAAAGCUAUUGGCAACUGGCAGCUUUUGGGGGAGGAAGAAUCUAUCCUUUUCGUGUUCUUUUUCUUCCAAAGUUUUUAUUGAUUCUUUGUGGAUUUCACAUCAUACACCCCUAUCUCAUUCAGCUCUGCCCCUUUGUAUCUGCCCUCUGCCCUUAUAACAUCCUCCAAAUAAAGUAAAAUAAAAUUUAAA